CGAGUCGGCUGGACAGUCGCGGGGGCCUUGGGGGUAUAUCCUCUGGAGCCUUCGAGGAAAGUCCGGGCUCCAUAGGGCAGAGUGCCAGGUAACGCCUGGGGGGCGCGAGCCCACGGAAAGUGCCACAGAAAAUAUACCGCCUACGUCGUGCGCUUCGCGCCGGCCGGUAAGGGUGAAAUGGUGCGGUAAGAGCGCACCGCGCGUCUGGCAACAGACGUGGCAGGGUAAACCCCACUCGGAGCAAGACCAAAUAGGGGAGCACUGGCGCGGCCCGCGUUGCUCCCGGGUAGGUCGCUUGAGGUGCGUGGCGACGCGCAUCCCAGAUGAAUGACUGUCCACGACAGAACCCGGCUUACAGGCUGACUCACUAA
rnacentral:RNase_P_RNA from 1 species